rnacentral:rRNA from 1 species
UACGGAGGAUGCGAGCGUUAUCCGGAUUUAUUGGGUUUAAAGGGUGCGUAGGCGGUCCGUUAAGUCAGCGGUAAAAAUGCGGUGCUCAACGCCGUACAGCCGUUGAAACUGGCAGUCUCGAGUUGGAGAGAAGUAUGCGGAAUGCGCGGUGUAGCGGUGAAAUGCAUAGAUAUCACGCAGAACUCCGAUUGCGAAGGCAGCAUACCGGCGCCCGACUGACGCUGAAGCACGAAAGCGUGGGUAUCGAACAGG